UACGGAGGGUGCAAGCGUUGUUCGGAAUUACUGGGCGUAAAGCGCGUGUAGGUGGCUUGUUAUGUCAGGUGUGAAAGCCCUCGGCCUAACCGAGGAAGUGCGCCUGAAACUGCCAAGCUUGAGUACGAGAGAGGAGGACGGAAUUCCCAGUGUAGAGGUGAAAUUCGUAGAUAUUGGGAGGAACACCGGUGGCGAAAGCGGUUCUCUGGAUCGAUUCUGACGCUGAGGUGCGAAAGCGUGGGGAGCAAACAGG
rnacentral:rRNA from 1 species